AGCCUCCGCAUUUUACGGGCCCUGCUACGGUUUUCCAACCCUGAAACAAAGAGUGAUGAAAAUAUUUCAUCUUUUUAUCAUUUUCUCCUUUGCUGUUUGCUCCAAUUCAACUUGGAGAGCGCCGCCAUGAAGAAACCCUAGGCCGAGUUGGAAAGGCACUUUUUGGUUACUGUUGUUAAUGAUUUGUUGAAGAUUUUUCCACAGGAAAACAUCUGGUACACAGGAGCAGACAAGGAGGCAAGGACUGGAUGCAAGAUGGACAGAAGCAUACAGAUGAAACAAGGGAAACAACUAGGACUCGUCAUUCAGGCAAUGACGAGUCACCCUUCUUUAUGUGUACUUACUUUUAUUUUGCAUCUGCAAAUAUGUUAUGUUUUCCUCAUCUGCUCUAUGACAGUUAGUCUCACGGCUUGUGUGAGACAUUGUACAUUCUCAUUCGUAUUAAUAAAGAUUACCUUUUUGGCAAAAAA